rnacentral:lncRNA from 1 species
AAAAAAGUAUAAUGAAUAACUAAAUACUAAACAAGAUAAAUAUAUAUAUUUUUUUAACGUUUUUUUUUGUGUUUAUUUACAUAUAAAGAAACAUGAAAGAAAAAUGAUUAGUGUUAAAGGUUAAUUUUUUUUUUUUUUUUUUUUUUUUUUUAUACAAUAAAUUGAAACUGUUACUAGUUCAGCAAGUUUUACAAUUUCCCAAGUCCGGCAAGUUUCACAAUUUCCCAAGCCUGUCAAGUUUUGCAAUUUCCUAAGUGUAGUAAGUUGCAUAAGUUUUUUUUUUUUAUUUUUUUUAUAAAAGAUAGGUGGAAUUAACCAAAUAAAUUUUUAUAUUUUUUAUUAUAAAAAAUAAAACAACAGUUGAUCAGUUUUCAAUUUUAAAUGAUGACUCACAAUAUUAUGUUUCGAUUGAAGGAACCUUUAUUUUACAAUGAGAGUUUUAUUAAUAGGUUUCUUUUCAAGUUUGGGUGUAGGCAGCAUAUAAAGAGCAAGGUUGUGUUUAAAAGAUAUUUUUUCUAUAGGUUAAUUAUAUCUGAACAUAUGUAUACACACACAUGCAUACAUAUACAAUUUCUCAUUAGUAUACAUAAUACAUACAUGCCCAUACUACAUAUAUAAAACAUAAUACAUGUAUUAAACAACAUAUACAUAUGUAUUUAUUCAUUUCGACUCCUACAGAUACGAUUAAAGUACCAAGAUUAGGUGACUCUAUUACAGAAGGAACCAUAGGUGAAUGGAAAAAAAAAAUUAGGUGAUUAUGUAUGGGCAGAUGAAACAAUAACAGUUAUUGACACUGAUAAAGUAAGUGUUGAUAUAAACUCUAAAUCGAGCGGUACGUUAAGUAAAUAUAUGCAGAAGAAGGAGAAGUUAUUUUUGUUGAUGCGCCAUUAUGUGAAAUUGAUACUUCGGCAGAACCACCUGUAGAAAGAAACGAAUCUACUGUUAAUGGUAGUACUACUGGUGCUAGUAUUAUCAAACCCGAAAACGAAGCAAUAUCAGAAGCAAGUGCAGAAAAAAAAGGAUCAAGUUACGAACAAAAAGAACAUGUAAAUAAUAAAGAAUAUAGAAAUGAGAUUAUAG